rnacentral:rRNA from 1 species
CGGGGUGCCCAGGCGCGAAAACUCCACACUGUACGGAAGUACGAUGGGGUUAUCUCGAGUGCAGUCCGAUAAGGGCUGCUUUUCCAUAGAGUAAUAUCCUGUGGGAAUAAGAGGGGGGCAAGACUGGUGUCAGCCGCCGCGGUAACACCAGCCCCUCGAGUGGUGGGGACUAUUAUUUGGCCUAAAGCGUCCGUAGCUGGCUGUAUCCGUCCCCCGUUAAAUCCAGCGUCCUAAGCGUUGGACUGCGGGUGAUACCAUACAGCUAGAGGGUGGGAUAGGUGAGCGGUAUUUCUGGGGUAGGGGCGAAAUCCUUUGAUCCCAGGAGGACCACCAGUGGCGAAGGCUGCUCACUAGAACACGCCUGACGGUCAGGGACGAAAGCUGGGGCAGCGAACCGGAUUAGAUACCCGGGUAGUCCCAGCUGUAAACUAUGCUAGCUAGGUGUUGGGUCGGCCACGUGCCGCCCCAGUGCCGCAGGGAAGCCGUUAAGCUAGCCGCCUGGGGAGUACGGCCGCAAGGCUGAAACUUAAAGGAAUUGGCGGGGGAGCAC